rnacentral:lncRNA from 1 species
CAGGAGAGAAACUUGAAGAGCUUGAAGAAUGUUACCAAGAAUGAAAAAGUUUGAAGAUAGGGGAGUUGGAAGGAAUACCUGGUAGAGGACAUUCUUGAAGGUGUGGAAAUAGAGUCUAGAACACAACUGAAUAAAGAGGGCUCCCCAUUUUGUGAGAUUGGAGGUGAAGAGGGAAAUUUGUGGAAAGAGGAACUUGGCAAGGAUGACCAAG